CGCGCGUAGGUGGCUAAGUCAGCCAGGUGUGAAAGCCCCGGGCUCAACCUGGGAACGGCAUCUGGAACUGCUUGGCUAGAGUGCAGGAGAGGAAGGUAGAAUUCCCGGUGUAGCGGUGAAAUGCGUAGAGAUCGGGAGGAAUACCAGUGGCGAAGGCGGCCUUCUGGACUGACACUGACACUGAGGUGCGAAAGCGUGGGUAGCAAACAGGAUUAGAUACCCUGGUAGUCCACGCCGUAAACGAUGUCAACUAGCCGUUGGGUCCCUUGAGGACUUAGUGGCGCAGCUAACGCAAUAAGUUGACCGCCUGGGGAGUACGGCCGCAAGGUUAAAACUCAAAUGAAUUGACGGGGGCCCGCACAAGCGGUGGAGCAUGUGGUUUAAUUCGAUGCAACGCGAAGAACCUUACCUACCCUUGACAUCCAGAGGACUUUCCAGAGAUGGAUUGGUGCCUUCGGGAACUCUGAGACAGGUGCUGCAUGGCUGUCGUCAGCUCGUGUUGUGAAAUGUUGGGUUAAGUCCCGUAACGAGCGCAACCCCUAUCCUUAUUUGCCAGCGAGUAAUGUCGGGAACUCUAAGGAGACUGCCGGUGACAAACCGGAGGAAGGUGGGGACGACGUCAAGUCAUCAUGGCCCUUACGGGUAGGGCUACACACGUGCUACAAUGGCAAGUACAAAGGGUUGCAAUACUGCGAAGUGGAGCCAAUCCCAUAAAGCUUGCCUCAGUCCGGAUUGGAGUCUGCAACUCGACUCCAUGAAGUCGGAAUCGCUAGUAAUCGUGGAUCAGAAUGCCACGGUGAAUACGUUCCCGGGCCUUGUACACACCGCCCGUCACACCAUGGGAGUGGACUGCACCAGAAGUGGUUAGCC
rnacentral:rRNA from 1 species